ACUGUGGUUUGACGAUCCAGCGAUGGCUGAACACAUCUGAAGUCACGGCACACGACAUCCUUCGAUACUUCCUAGCGUAUUUCGACAUCAAAACAGUGUUAUAAGUAUGACUGAUUAAAUUUUCAUCAUGUCGGAAAGUCCUGGAGGCAUGAGUGCCGUUCUUUUGAAAAGUGUCGGCUGACGGAGAACGCCAUCAAAUAUGGAACACCAGAUCUUCUUCUUGCUGCUCGGCGUCAUUGUCACUUUUUGUGACGUCACCUCCGAGGAAACGUUCCGUCUUAAAAUAGGGAUCGUCGGUACUUGGACGCCAGUCUUUGACGAAUUACUGAGAACAAUUGGACUUUCACAUCCAUGGCAAAUCUAUAACAUCACGACAGCCAAACCCAAAUCGCAGUAUGACAAAAUGUUAAAGGUGAAAGACUUUCUUACCGAUAACCAAAUUGACGUCAUACUUGGUCCCUAUGAUGACGCCACGGGUAUUGUUGCCGAUAAGCUGAGAGUCCCGUACAUAUGCACCACUGGGUCCAAACGUAACCUAAACUACACAUUCCAGAUUCUUCCCCCGCUGGAAGAUUUUAGUCAGGCCAUAUUUGACAUGACGAAAAGCUACCAAUGGGACAAAGUCAGCUUGUUCUAUGAUGAUCUAAGAGGUGUGUAUAUCAUGGAGCAGCUGUUGACCAACCAUGACAUGAUGGUUAAAUCGUGGCACGUGAAGGGUGGUUCUGAUAUAAAGGCGGUGGAGAAACAAGUGAGGGACCACCUCGUGCGGAUGAGACAGGCUUUCGUCCAGAAAAGCAUCAUAUUCUGUUCGAAAGAGCACACUGAAAUCAUUCUAGACCAGGCCAGAAGUCUAGCAAUGCUGUCUCAGCCUUCUGAAUGGUUUUUCUACGACCCAGGGGAUCAACUGGUUCCGGUGUUCAAAAAUUUCCCUGACGUCUUUGUUAACUUCACCGUGUUUGGGUUGAUGGAGUUCGAUAGUAGAAACGAAAUCGCCUCGGUGGAUGACUCGCGGCGACUGAACAUCAGCCUGGCCGCAGAUUCUUUGAGGCUGUUGAACGCGACUCUGCCCAAGGCCGUGGAAGUCCAGAGAAACGAAGCCGCAUUUACAAUUGCAGAGGAGCUCAGAAAGAUUAGAAUUCCUGGCUACACUGGGGACAUAGAGUUCGGUCCCAAUGGGAGGCGGUACAAUUACACGAUCAAACUCUCGGAAAUAGAAGGUCUGGACUCCCUUCAGGAGAAAAAUGUGAAUGGAAAAAAUAGCGAAAUCAAAGAAAGAGAGAGCUUUUUGUGAUUAUUAACAAUAUAUGGAAUAACUGGAAAGUCAAUUCAAUAAACAUAAACAUUUAAUUAGAAAAAAUAGAAAAGGUGUAGCAUGGAAAAACCUUUUUGAAAGUAUAUACACUAAUGGUAAUCACACAAUGUACUUGUAUAUACAUGUAUGCUUGAUCAUUUGAUAUUUUUUAAUUGGAAAUCUGUUAACAUUAUAAUGAUUUUUUAAUAAAUGGUUACAAAAUG
rnacentral:misc_RNA from 1 species